CAUAAAAUUUUGAACAAUCACUUCCAGUGAUCCAUCUAACAAAAUAUGAAUGUUUAUUCAAAAUAAAAAAUUUACAAAUAUUAUUGUUGUGAUUGAAAGAAGAAUUUCUUCUAGAAUUUCUCUAGAAUGGAACAAUAAUAAGAAAAGCAAUCAACAACAGAUAAAGGAACAUCAUGAAUUAUUAAUUAGUUUUGAUCAACUUAUUACACUAUAUCAACACCAAUUGGUGGAGAUUCAUUAGAAGAACAGUAAAAUAUUCAAGAAUAAGAAGAAAAGUAAAUAUUCAAGAAUUAUCAAAUAAAAUUACAAAAACCAUCUAAAAACUGUUGUACAAUUCGAGGAAUUCUGAAAUAGUUUAGGAAAUUUUAAAUAAAACAGAAUUUAAAUAAUAGAAUACCAGUUUUGAAAAAUCUGCUGAAUAUAUUAAAAAUAAAACUAUGUGUGCAAGUAGUUUAUUUUGUGAUAUAAAUGAUUUUAGAUUUGUACAAUGGGGGCAACAGUGCAACGCGACCACGUAUAAGGAUUUAUUUUGCGCCCCCAUGCGAGUGCGGGGCAUGCCCUAAAACAUACGCUCGAGAUCCACCCUCCUGAUGAUAUAAGAUAGAAGAUUAUUGUGGAAUUAUUAGAAGCUAUCAUGGAAGUUAUUCUGCAGUUAUUAUAUAUGUCAAGUUAAUUAAAUAUCAUUUAAUUGGUAUGUUUAAUAUAAUUAAAGUAUAAUUAAAUAAAAAAAGAAAAUUAUAAAUUUAAUUUACUAAAAACCACUGAAAAUGUUUUCGUAAUAUUUUAUUUUUUGUUCAAAUGAAACCAAAGUAUGUACAAUAUUCAUUUACAUUACUAGGAUGUACUGAAAUAUAUAUAUAUA